GAUGAAGAACGUAGCGAAAUGCGAUAAGUAAUGUGAAUUGCAGAAUUCAGUGAAUCAUCGAAUCUUUGAACGCACAUUGCGCCCGCCAGUAUUCUGGCGGGCAUGCCUGUUCGAGCGUCAUUUCAACCAUCAAGCCCCAGGCUUGUGUUGGGGACCUGCGGCUGCCGCAGGCCCUGAAAACCAGUGGCGGGCUCGCUGUCACACCGGGCGUAGUAGAUUUUAUCUCGCUCAGGGCGUGCUGCGGGUUCCGGCCGUUAAAAAGCCUUUUUUACCCAAGGUUGACCUCGGAUCAGGUAGGAAUACCCGCUGAACUUAAGCAUACAAUAAGCGGAGGA
rnacentral:misc_RNA from 1 species